GACAGAGGGUGCAAACGUUGCUCGGAAUCACUGGGCGUAAAGGGCGUGUAGGCGGGAAGGUAAGUCGGGCGUGAAAUCUCCGAGCCCAACUCGGAAACUGCCUUGGAUACUAUUCGGCUAGAGGGUUGGAGGGGGGACUGGAAUUCUCGGUGUAGCAGUGAAAUGCGUAGAUAUCGAGAGGAACACCAGUGGCGAAGGCGAGUCCCUGGACAACUCCUGACACUGAGGCACGAAAGCUAGGGGAGCAAACAGG
rnacentral:rRNA from 1 species